GUAGUACUCCCUCCGUCCCAAAAUUCUUGUCUUAGAUUUGUCUAAAUGCGGAUGUAUCUAGUUACGUUUUAGUGUUAGAUACAUCUGUAUCUAGACAAAUCUAAGACAAGAAUUUUGGGACGGAGGGAGUACUAC
rnacentral:pre_miRNA from 1 species